CAAUAGCGUAUAUUAAAGUUGUUGCAGUUAAAAAGCUCGUAGUUGGAUUUCUGGUUGAAGCGACCGGUCGGGCGUUGAUUCGUCUGCACUGGAGUCGGUUUUGGCCAUCCUCUAGGAAAGUGCGUCUGGUAUUAAGUUAUCGGGCGUAUGAUCCUGGUCUUUUACUGUGAAAAAAUUAGAGUGUUUAAAGCAGGCCUUCGCCUUGAAUACAUUAGCAUGGAAUAAUAAGAUAGGACUUUGGUCUAUUUUGUUGGUUUGCAAACCGAAGUAAUGAUUAAUAGGGAUAGUUGGGGGUAUUUAUAUUCCGAUGUCAGAGGUGAAAUUCUUAGAUUUUCGGAAGAUAAACUUAUGCGAAAGCAUUUACCAAGGAUGUUUUCAUUAA
rnacentral:rRNA from 1 species